AGCAGUUGAUUCAGGAGGUUCUAGAUGUUGGCGUUGACAGUGUCCUGUUGAUCCAGUCUGGCUCGGACUUCCUUCUGCUCUUUCUGAAGUUCUUCCAGCGUCCUGAGAACUAGGGGGCAAAACAAGAAGACUCCCCCUGAGUCAGAGCAUGUUGUUCUUCAGCGGCUUUGGCUUCAGCUUCAGCAGCAGCCUUUGCUUCAGCUUCAGCAGCAGCAGCAGCAGCGUCAGCUAGAGCUUUAGCUUCAGCUUCCCUUGCCCUUUGG
rnacentral:lncRNA from 1 species